CAGCAGCCGCGGUAAUACGUAGGGUGCGAGCGUUAAUCGGAAUUACUGGGCGUAAAGCGUGCGCAGGCGGUUGUGUAAGACAGGUGUGAAAUCCCCGGGCUUAGCCUGGGAACUGCGCUUGUGACUGCACAGCUAGAGUAUGGCAGAGGGGGGUGGAAUUCCACGUGUAGCAGUGAAAUGCGUAGAGAUGUGGAGGAACACCGAUGGCGAAGGCAGCCCCCUGGGCCAAUACUGACGCUCAUGCACGAAAGCGUGGGGAGCAAACAGGAUUAGAUACCCGCGUAGUCCCUGUCUCUUAUAC
rnacentral:rRNA from 1 species